GCGAGUGAAGCGGGAAAAGCUCAAAUUUAAAAUCUGGCGGUCUUCUGGCCGUCCGAGUUGUAGUCUGGAGAAGCGUUUUCCGCGUUGGACCGUGUACAAGUUUCCUGGAACGGAGCGUCAUAGAGGGUGAGAAUCCCGUCUUUGACACGGAUCCCAAUGCUUUGUGAUGCGCUCUCAAAGAGUCGAGUUGUUUGGGAAUGCAGCUCAAAAUGGGUGGUGAAUUCCAUCUAAAGCUAAAUAUUGGCGAGAGACCGAUAGCGAACAAGUACCGUGAGGGAAAGAUGAAAAGCACUUUGGAAAGAGAGUUAAACAGUACGUGAAAUUGUUGAAAGGGAAACGCUUGAAGUCAGUCGCGUCGGCCGGGACUCAGCCUUGCAUCCGCUUGGUGUACUUUCCGGUCGACGGGCCAGCAUCAGUUUUGACCGCGAGAUAAAGGCGGAGGGAAUGUGGCUCUCUCGGGAGUGUUAUAGCCCUUCGUCAGAUGUCGCGGUUGGGACUGAGGAACUCAGCACGCCUUUAUGGCCGGGGCUCGCCCACGUACGUGCUUAGGAUGCUGGCGUAAUGGCUUUAAACGAC
rnacentral:rRNA from 1 species